GUAACUGAACAAAUAGAACCUUCAUGAACUCUGUACAUUGUCCAAGCUAGCCCACAGGAUGGCUGUAGCUAUUUUGCUCUGGGAAGAUAUACUGAGAAGACCAAGCCACCUUUGCUCAAAGGACUCCUGGCCCUGAUGGGCUUGGCACCUGUACUUCACAGCUUGGCUCUUGUUCUGAGAACUGAAAUUACUUUGCGUGGACUGUAAAACUAGUGCCAGAACAAUACUGCAGCCUCAAGACUCCAAGUCAUUCUCAAGAGCGGCUUCUCUCCUUAGGCUUAAAGGCUCCCUGUGUUCUUGUUAGAACUUACGGAAGUCAUCUUGGGUUCUAGAAUUUUUGCAGAAGAAUUGGAAGACUUGGGCCAGAGCAGAUGUAAAGGACCAAAAAGUACAAACACUUAUUUCUGCUAUAAGUAGACCCAGGCCUGGAUUAAAUGUGCCAUCUAAUCAUCCAUGAAGGUAAUGUAGACUUAUGCCUUGCUCAGUUGAUCCAGGUGAAACCUUCUCAGACUUGGAAUGGAAGCCAAUGAGGCAAAGGUUCUGGGACUUGUGCAUGGCAAUCUUUCCAAAAGUGUGACAGUUGCAACAAGACCAAGCUCGGGCAGCACUUGAAAUUGCCACUCCCUUAUCCUACCAAUAGGAUAGUAUUUUGUGAUCAAUGGAGUGUCCUCAGAGUGCAUCUGACAGAGGGAUACCUUCUUGGCAUGAGUAAAGCAAUAAACAGAAGCCCAUGGAAUAUCUCAUUGUACAGUUCAUCUUCUGGAAGAAACUGGCCUUCAAGAAUGGUGGGAAGCCUUCUGAAAUCACCAUAGGGCACCAUGUAGGACUCAUUGCUUGGAAGGGCUGGAGACCCUUCCUUGGGGAUGUGGUACAUGUUCUGAGCCAGAGGCUACUGUGACGGUGUUUCCUCCUGGUCAGACUGUGAGGGUCAACGUACUGAACAGUGAAGAUGGAUAUGGCCCCUCUCCCUGUAACAAGAAUCCUACAUAUAAAACUCAAUUUCCAUCGUGGGUUUUCUAGGCUCUGCUGGUUUAGAGACCUCAGCGAUUCAUGGAGGAAUGCUUCUACCAAGAAACAUACUUCUACCAUUGAUGUAGUAGGGGAGACAGCCCCUGGUCAUUCAUAUGUUACUUUGAACCUACAAAUAAAGAAGCAUUAUAAUGUUG